rnacentral:rRNA from 1 species
GAUGAACGCUGGCGGCGUGCUUAACACAUGCAAGUCGAACGAUGAAGCCCAGCUUGCUGGGUGGAUUAGUGGCGAACGGGUGAGUAACACGUGAGUAACCUGCCCUUAACUCUGGGAUAAGCCUGGGAAACUGGGUCUAAUACCGGAUAGGAGCGUCCACCGCAUGGUGGGUGUUGGAAAGAUUUAUCGGUUUUGGAUGGACUCGCGGCCUAUCAGCUUGUUGGUGAGGUAAUGGCUCACCAAGGCGACGACGGGUAGCCGGCCUGAGAGGGUGACCGGACACACUGGGACUGAGACGAGGCACAGACUCCUACGGGAAGCAGCAGUGGGGAAUAUUGCACAAUGGGCGCAAGCCUGAUGCAGCGACGCCGCGUGAGGGAUGACGGCCUUCGGGUUGUAAACCUCUUUCAGUAGGGAAGAAGCGAAAGUGACGGUACCUGCAGAAGAAGCACCGGCUAACUACGUG